AAUCAACGCUGGCGGCGUGCCUCAGACAUGCAAGUCGAACGCGAAAGAGGUCUUCGGAUCUUGAGUAGAGUGGCGUCCGGGUGAGUAACACGUAGGUAAUCUACCUUCGGGUGGGGAAUAACCCAGGGAAACUUGGGCUAAUACCGCAUAAUGCAGCGGCACCACAUGGUGACAGUUGUUAAAGCGGGGGAUCUUAGGACCUCGCGCCUGAAGAGGAGCCUGCGGCGGAUUAGCUAGUUGGUGAGGUAAUGGCUCACCAAGGUUACGAUC
rnacentral:rRNA from 1 species